rnacentral:rRNA from 1 species
GAAUCAUCGAGUCUUUGAACGCAUAUUGCGGCUCCGGGUCACUCCCGGAGCCACGCCUGUCUGAGGGUCGGCGAACGUACUCGCAAGACUGCCUUGCUCUSGGUCCCAGKCAAGUCUUGCGCCUUGGCCGUCGCGCUGCCGCUCCCGCGGAAGCCGGCGUCGGCCGUAGCGAAGAAGAAAGGGUUUCGCCCGUCCUAGGGCGCCGUCGACACCGUUCGUCGGACGCGGGUGUCCCUACCCCCGGCGCCGACAGCGUGGAGACGCGGCUCGCAUGCGUGCUUUCGCUGCGAGACCUCGCGCUCCUGCCGUCGCAAGUCCGCGGGUGAGCACUCCGGUCCGCUUAUGGGCCGUCGGUCCGUGCGCCUGCGAAAGCCCUGCGCCGAAAGACUGAGAAAGUGAGAGAGAGGAAAAGCGGUACGCUCUGACCGGCUCUCCCUCACUUCUCUUCUCACUCCGACCUCAGAUCAGACGAGACUACCCGCUGAAUUUAAGCAUAUUAAUAAGCGGAGGAAAAGAAACUAACC